rnacentral:rRNA from 1 species
UGGGGAAUUUUGGACAAUGGGCGAAAGCCUGAUCCAGCCAUGCCGCGUGAGUGAAGAAGGCCUUCGGGUUGUAAAGCUCUUUUAGUCGGAAAGAAAGAGUUGCAAUGAAUAAUUGUGAUUUAUGACGGUACCGACAGAAAAAGCACCGGCUAACUACGUGCCAGCAGCCGCAGUAAUACGUAGGGUGCGAGCGUUAAUCGGAAUUACUGGGCGUAAAGGGUGCGCAGGCGGUUUUGCAAGUCAGAUGUGAAAGCCCCGGGCUUAACCUGGGAAUUGCGUUUGAAACUACACGGCUAGAAUGCAGCAGAGGGGAGUGGAAUUCCAUGUGUAGCAGUGAAAUGCGUAGAGAUGUGGAAGAACACCGAUGGCGAAGGCAGCUCCCUGGGUUGACACUGACGCUCAUGCACGAAAGCGUGGGGAGGAAACA